rnacentral:rRNA from 1 species
ACAGCAGCCGCCGCGGUAAUACAGAGGGUGCAAGCGUUAAUCGGAAUUACUGGGCGUAAAGCGCGCGUAGGUGGUUUGUUAAGUUGGAUGUGAAAUCCCCGGGCUCAACCUGGGAACUGCAUCCAAAACUGGCAAGCUAGAGUAUGGUAGAGGGUGGUGGAAUUUCCUGUGUAGCGGUGAAAUGCGUAGAUAUAGGAAGGAACACCAGUGGCGAAGGCGACCACCUGGACUGAUACUGACACUGAGGUGCGAAAGCGUGGGGAGCAAACAGGAUUAGAUACCCCGGUAGUCCCUGUCUCUUAUAC